rnacentral:rRNA from 1 species
AUGAACGCUAGCGACAGGCUAACACAUGCAAGUCGAGGGGUAACAGGGUAGCAAUACCGCUGACGACCGGCGCACGGGUGAGUAACGCGUAUGCAACCUGCCUAUAACUGGGGAAUAGCUCCCUGAAAGGGGAAUUAACACCGCAUAACACUAUUGAUUCGCAUGGAUUAGUAGUUAAAUGUAGCGAUACAGGUUAUAGAUGGGCAUGCGUGACAUUAGCUAGUUGGUGAGGUAACGGCUCACCAAGGCUACGAUGUCUAGGGGUUCUGAGAGGAAGGUCCCCCCACACUGGUACUGAGACACGGACCAGACUCCUACGGGAGGCAGCAGUGAGGAAUAUUGGUCAAUGGGCGCAAGCCUGAACCAGCCAUGUCGCGUACAGGAAGACUGCCCUAUGGGUUGUAAACUGCUUUUAUAGUAGAAGAAACACAUCUACGUGUAGAUGUCUGCCAGUAUACUAUGAAUAAGCAUCGGCUAACUCCGUGCCAGCCGCUGC